rnacentral:lncRNA from 12 species
CAGAGACUCCUUCUUGCCAAAGCCUGGAGGCAUGUUCCAAAUAGCCCACGAAUAGUUGGCGGAAUUCCACAGGGAGGAAGGAAAUCUUGUUCUAAGGCUUUCAGCUGGUGCUUGGGAGGGAAGUGGAGGGAGGAGAGCCUUGGGGCCGGGAGAGCUGGUGGGGAGGGGCUCGAGAGCAGGCCAGAAAGUCAGGGGCCUGGUGACUCAUUGGAACAGAACAUCCUGUUUCUUUUCUAUUUCCCGGUGGAUUCUCUGAGACUAUUGUGGGGUGCGAGGGGGAGAGGGAGGCAAAUUCACCCUGACAACCACACUAGAUUUCUGGGCUGGGCCCUGGGUCAGUAUGUAUUGCUGAUUUUAUCUCUGCUGUGCCCUUCACAUCCUCCGCACCUCCUGCAUUGCUACGUUUGCCCUAGCCCAUGCCCCGUGCCCCGGCCUGGAUUCCUGCCCGCCUCCAGCCCUGCCCUUCUUGAAGCAUCUCUGCCCUGUGGCCUAAGGGAUCUACCCACACACCCCAUCACCCUGGGGGGAAGUCUCUGCCUCUUGGAUGGUAAUUCAAGUCCCCCCCUGAUCUGGUUCCUGCCCCCUGCUCCUUUUGUCCUGUCCACACUGCUCUUGUACCUUCCUCUCUCUGGGUCUUUGUUCAAGAAGAAUUUGUUGCUCCCUCCUAUAGGUUUCCUUUUUUUUUUUUUUUUUUUUAAAUUUUUAAAUUUAUUUAUGAUAGUCACACAGAGAGAGAGAGAGAGGCAGAGACAUAGGCAGAGGGAGAAGCAGGCUCCAUGCACCGGGAGCCCGACGUGGGAUUCGAUCCCGGGUCUCCAGGAUCGCGCCCUGGGCCAAAGGCAGGCGCCAAACUGCUGCGCCACCCAGGGAUCCCCUCCUAUAGGUUUCCAAUGUGUUAUUAGUAUUUAUUUUUGCAUUUCUGUUGGAACACGAUUACAUGGUGUCCUUCCCCAGAGAUUUCUGGCAGGGUUCAUGGCCUCUGCCCUCAUAGAUCUGAGAACCUUCGAGGGCUCCCUGCCCUCAGCACAGAACCAGCCCUCACAACAGAUGCUCAGGAAAAAUUGUCCAACCUCAUGCUCUCUGGAAAAGCAAAUAUGA